AUGCUUAAAAAAAUGAGUUAGGAAAACAAAGCAAGCGGUGAGAGCUGCUCGUGGCCCCUUUGUGUGUAUGAAAUUUUGGAGGGGCUGACCGAGCGUUGACGCUGCCUACCUUGCAGAACUCGCCCGUGCGGGCCU